rnacentral:lncRNA from 1 species
UGACCAACGACACCAAUGCCGAGCUCGCUAUGGAUGGAUGGAGACGGUGAGAUAGCUGCCUAUAUGAGAAGUGUGGGAUCCAAUUGCAACCACAUCACAACACAAUAAAAUCACUGUUAGGCUGAGCCUCGCAGGUGACAUAUUGGGUUUGUUUCUGGAUUCCAUUUUUCAUCUUCAAAAAUGCAAUCCAGAAGCAAACUUUUUGGUCAGUGAGUGAAUCUAACUCAUCAAGUCAGUGAGUUAAUAUUCCAACAGUUAGGAUCCUGACAAGAUUUAUCUCAAAAUGUGAUAGCUGUGAUGGAGAGUCGCAGCUGAUCUCAAGAUACAAUGGAUGAAUGUUGCAACAAGGGCGGUUUGACCAAAAUAUAUACAGGAACUCUGAUGGCCAAGUUGAAAGAGCCAAAGCACAAGGAAUAAUGAGGUGAAACAACCGUGGAACACAAGUUAAAUUAGCAUGAUUGAAGAUGAAGUACGAUAAAAAUUACACACGCUCACUUGCAAAAGAGUAAGUUUGAUGCAAAGAAAACACUCUUCGCCUAAUACACUCAUCUACCAGCCAUAGUACACAACACAGAAUUCAUUCGAGGCCGGCUCGACUGGGUAUCGUCGUUCUCACUGUCAUCAUCGCUAUCGGAUGCAUUACUUGUGUUGUUCAUGGAAUCCGAGGCACCAAUAAGGCAGGAGAUAUGGUAUGCACAGCAACAGAAGAAGACACCGACAGAAAGGUUCUGAGCGUAAAACGGAUCGAAACACAAGCAACAUCACCCGCGCCCCUCCCAUAUCCUCCGACUUGCUGAUGAUGACUGCAAGAGCUUGUUUCACAUCUCCCAUCCUUCCAAGUAAGAAUACUUGCUCUCUAACAAGAUCUUUUUCCACACAGAUCUCAUAUGCCUGAAAGAUGAUGCUAGUCGGGCUUCCAGUUUACCACAAUGAUUUACAAACCAGCACAGGAAUAGAAGUCUGAACCUUGGCUAGUCUAUACUCUAUAGUGCUGACUGCUGCCAAGAAAUGGUGGCAGCAUCUUUGGUUCAUAUUCUUCAUAAAGCUCAACCUAUAACAGAAAACAAAUGUUAUCCAUACACAUCAUAAAAGAAGUAAAAGAUGAAUAUGAGUAUGUUGCUUUAUCAAACAAAUGCUGAUGGGUGCUAAUUUGGGAUGAACAGUUAGAAAGAAACUUAGCUAAUAUAUUUUCAUGUUGCCAACUUGCAAACUUG